rnacentral:SRP_RNA from 1 species
GCCAGGCGUGGUGGCUCACGCCUGUAAUCCCAGCACUUUGGGAGGCCGAGGUGGGUGGAUCACCUGAGGUCAGGAGUUCAAGACCAGCCUGGCCAACAUGGAGAAACCCCAUCUCUA